rnacentral:rRNA from 1 species
AUUGAACGCUGGCGGCAGGCUUAACACAUGCAAGUCGAGCGGAGCGAGGGUGCUUGCACCUUAGCUUAGCGGCGGACGGGUGAGUAAUGCUUAGGAAUCUGCCUAUUAGUGGGGGACAACAUUCCGAAAGGGAUGCUAAUACCGCAUACGCCCUACGGGGGAAAGCAGGGGAUCUUCGGACCUUGCGCUAAUAGAUGAGCCUAAGUCGGAUUAGCUAGUUGGUGGGGUAAAGGCCUACCAAGGCGACGAUCUGUAGCGGGUCUGAGAGGAUGAUCCGCCACACUGGGACUGAGACACGGCCCAGACUCCUACGGGGGGCAGCAGUGGGGAAUAUUGGAAAAUGGGGGGAACCCUGAUCCAGCCAUGCCGCGUGUGUGAAGAAGGCCUUAUGGUUGUAAAGCACUUUAAGCGAGGAGGAGGCUACUUUAGUUAAUACCUAGAGAUAGUGGACGUUACUCGCAGAAUAAGCACCGGCUAACUCUGUGCCAGCCGCCGCUGUAAUAC